rnacentral:lncRNA from 1 species
AGUUCUAUCCGGUGAUAUUUAGUGAUUGAUCAUUCAGUAUAAAAAAUAACUUGCUAUUUUUUUUAUCAGUCUAAAAUAAAAUAAAUUAAACUGAACAUUUCAGAUGCUUCAACCAUGAAACAGAUAAAAAAUAUAUAUAUACCAAAAUACAAAUCAUCUACUUUCUUAAGGCUCUUCCCAGCUUAAAACCAAGCUGCAAUCACUCAUACAAAAAGAAACAAGAAAGAAUCAAACUAAGAGUUAUUCCUUCACCAAUUUCUGCUGCAUUUUGUAUUUCUUUCUGCAGCUUUUCAUACAGCUUUAGUGCAGGAGGUUAAGCUUGGUGAAUCAUUGGCUCCAAAAGAAAAGCCACGCUCACUGCUUAAAACUGCAGCUUGUCCGAGACCAUACUAUCAAAGCCUAUACUAAUGCGCAUUGGCUUCUUCUGUUGUUGGUUUCUUCUAGUUUAAGAUUUGAAUCUUCUUCUCUUAAAUUUCUUCCAGGAUAUAAGGCUUUGCUCAGCUGCCAAACACAGAUCCGAAACCAGUGUGGUCAAAUUAUCCCCUGCUCCAGAAAUAACUAGCUAUAUAUAGUAACAGGAAAUAAAAAAUUUAUUGAUCUUACUGAUUUAUUUACUUUUAAAACUUGACCUAUUUAAUCUGACACUUAGCAGAUAUUGUCCAUGAUAAUUUGUGAGGAACACAAACAUGUUCCCUCUUGUCUGAGGCAGGCAUUAGAAUUUUCUUAUUUGCUAUGCUCACUAUAAAAGGAAGGACAGGGAAAAAUAAAAAAUAUCCUAUAGUAUUGAUAUAUAUAAUAAAAGAUGCUGAAUGAUUAUAGAAUAUUCAUAUGGUGUUUCAAGUCUAAAUAACUAACUACAUGAGUAAAUCUCAAUCAUUGAUAACAAUGAUCCGUGUGAUACUUACAUUUA